AGAGUGAUAAAUAAGAUUUCUAAUCUUUAAAAAGCAAAAGCUACACUCUA
rnacentral:tRNA from 1 species